rnacentral:piRNA from 1 species
UGCUUAUGACAAAUAAAUCACGAUAUGAA